GGCGGGUUCGCCCGCCGGCUGGACAACUCAAUAACCUUUUUAAUUUUCAAUCAGCGUCUGAAUAAUUAUAAUAAUUACAACUUUCAACAACGGAUCUCUUGGUUCUGGCAUCGAUGAAGAACGCAGCGAAAUGCGAUAAGUAGUGUGAAUUGCAGAAUUCAGUGAAUCAUCGAAUCUUUGAACGCACAUUGCGCCCCUUGGUAUUCCAUGGGGCAUGCUUGUUCGAGCGUCAUUUGUACUCUCAAGCUUUGCUUGGUGUUGGGUGUUUGUCCUUUCCUUGUGGUUGGACUCGCCUUAAAUUCAUUGGCAGCCAAAGUAUUGGUUUGAAGCGCAGCACAAUUUGCGAUUCUGACUGGUAUUGUUAGCGUCCAGUAAGCACAUUUAACACUUUUGACCUCGGAUCAAGUAGGGAUACCCGCUGAACUUAAGCAUAUCAAUAAGCGGAGGAAAAGAAACCAACAGGGAUUGCCCUAGUAACGGCGAGUGAAGCGGCAACAGCUCAAAUUUGAAAUCUGGCUCUUUCAGAGUCCGAGUUGUAAUUUGCAGAGGGCGCUUUGGCGUUGGCAGCGGUCCAAGUUCUUUGGAACAGGACGUCACAGAGGGUGAGAAUCCCGUACGUGGUCGCUAUCCUUCGCCGUGUAAAGCCCCUUCGACGAGUCGAGUUGUUUGGGAAUGCAGCUCUAAAUGGGAGGUAAAUUUCUUCUAAAGCUAAAUACUGGCCAGAGACCGAUAGCGCACAAGUAGAGUGAUCGAAAGAUGAAAAGCACUUUGGAAAGAGAGUCAAAUAGCACGUGAAAUUGUUGAAAGGGAAGCGCUUGCAGCCAGACUUGCCUGUAGUUGCUUAUCUAGACUUUUGUCUGGUGCACUCUUCUGCGGGCAGGCCAGCAUCAGUUUAGGCGGUUAGAUAAAGGUCUCUGUCAUGUACCUCUCUUCGGG
rnacentral:rRNA from 1 species